rnacentral:rRNA from 1 species
ACCUUCGGGUGAGUGGCAGACGGGUGAGUAACGCGUGGAAACCUUCCCUGUGGUACGGAAUAACUUCGGGAAACCGAAGCUAAUACCGUAUAUCUCCUCCGGGAGAAAGAUUUAUCGCCAUAGGAUGGGCCCGCGUUGGAUUAGCUAGUUGGUAGGGUAAUGGCCUACCAAGGCGACGAUCCAUAGCUGGUCUGAGAGGAUGAUCAGCCACACUGGGACUGAGACACGGCCCAGACUCCUACGGGAGGCAGCAGUGGGGAAUAUUGGACAAUGGGCGCAAGCCUGAUCCAGCCAUGCCGCGUGAGUGAAGAAGGCCUUAGGGUUGUAAAGCUCUUUUGGCGGGGACGAUAAUGACGGUACCCGCAGAAUAAGCCCCGGCUAACUUCGUGCCAGCAGCCGCGGUAAUACGAAGGGGGCUAGCGUUGUUCGGAAUCACUGGGCGUAAAGCGCACGCAGGCGGAUUGAUAAGUCAGGCGUGAAAUCCCGGGGCUC